rnacentral:rRNA from 1 species
UGGGGAAUAUUGGACAAUGGGCGAAAGCCUGAUCCAGCCAUGCCGCGUGUGUGAAGAAGGCCUUUUGGUUGUAAAGCACUUUAAGCGAGGAGGAGGCGACUUGGAUUAAUACUCUAGGAUAGUGGACGUUACUCGCAGAAUAAGCACCGGCUAACUCUGUGCCAGCAGCCGCGGUAAUACAGAGGGUGCGAGCGUUAAUCGGAUUUACUGGGCGUAAAGCGUGCGUAGGCGGCUUCUUAAGUCGGAUGUGAAAUCCCUGAGCUUAACUUAGGAAUUGCAUUCGAUACUGGGAAGCUAGAGUAUGGGAGAGGAUGGUAGAAUUCCAGGUGUAGCGGUGAAAUGCGUAGAGAUCUGGAGGAAUACCGAUGGCGAAGGCAGCCAUCUGGCCUAAUACUGACGCUGAGGUACGAAAGCAUGGGGAGCAAACAGG